rnacentral:rRNA from 1 species
AAUCAACGCUGGCGGCGUGCCUCAGACAUGCAAGUCGAACGCGAAAGUCCCCUUCGGGGGACGAAGUAGAGUGGCGCACGGGUGAGUAACACGUAGGUAAUCUACCUUUGGAUGGGGAAUAACAACCGGAAACGGUUGCUAAUACCGCAUAAUGCAGCGGCACCUAAUGGUGACAGUUGUUAAAGCGGGGGAUCGAAAGACCUCGCGUCUAAAGAGGAGCCUGCGGCGGAUUAGCUAGUUGGUAAGGAAUGGCUUACCAAGGCUACGAUCCGUAACCGGCCUGAGAGGGCGGUCGGUCACACUGACACUGACAUACGGGUCAGACUCCUACGGGAGGCAGCAGUGGGGAAUAUUGCGCAAUGGACGAAAGUCUGACGCAGCGACGCCGCGUGUGGGAUGACGGUCUUCGGAUUAGUAAACCACUGUCGGGAGGGACGAAUACGCCGCAAGGCGGGUGACGGUACCUCCAAAGGAAGCACCGGCUAACUCCGUGCCAGCCGCCGCAGUAAU